rnacentral:miRNA from 1 species
GAGGGGAUGGAGAGAAGCUGG